UGCCGCUGAUGUGGCUUUGGUCCUGUUGGCCAUCACCAUGACAAGGCGUGGUGCCAUCAUACUUCGGUACUCCCUCCCCCAGUCCGUUGAGAGCGAGGUUGGAUUUGCAUAUGGGGAUGUGUGCUGUACCUAUUGUUUAUUGUGUUUUGUACCGUAUGUGUAUGCUUCUUUACAGCAUGUAACCGUAUACAUAUUCACACGGCCCAAUGCAACAGGACAAAGGGGGUGUUGUUUUAUUCACUGCGUUCGGCAGGCUGGAGUUGGAGGCUGGAGCUGGAAUGCUGUGAGAAAAAAAUACUGUUGGGCUGGCUGGAGCUGGAGUUGGUGGCUGGAGUGGUGUGAGAGGAAAUUAUUGUAGCGCUGGAAGAGAGUAGACCAGCCGAACACAGUGAUUGGGGAGAGGACAUCUAGUUCGAAUUUUGAAAUUCAGAUCUAGUUGGGGGUGGGGGAGGGGGGUGCACGACGGGAGGCUCCGACGGCAGAGGUCUCACCGGAGGGGAGCGGUGCGUGAAAGUGUACCGGCGGCAGAAAAGGAGAGUCGUGUGGGAGGUUGGAGCGGGGUAAGGAGGAGGGAAAGGUGUACCGGCGGUGUACAGAGGAGAGUUGGGAGGCGGCCGGAGGCCAGUGUUCGGGGGAGGGGGGAGAAGAAGCGAGGGAGACGAAAGCGCGGUAAUCCGGUGGUGAGGAGUGGACACCAUUGUAGGUAGGCUAGGUUGUGAGGUAGAGCGCCUGGGGGUGUUGGGGCUGUCGACGGUGCCGGCGGCGGGAGCAAAAGGACGCCGAGCUACCUCCAAAGCAGAGGUGAGCGUCAGGAAGCAAGAUGACGGGGGUCAAGGCACCGGCCGCUGAGGUAAGUGGCGAUAAUGUUCUUUCAGGCGCUGUGCAUACAGAUUUGCCGGGAUUGUUCGUGGGGGAAGGAUUUGUUGGAGCCGGGAACCGCCAUGAAUCCAGUUGCUAGGGAGCCAAUGGCGCAAGCCAGGCACGAAGCACAAGCAUCAACCAAGCAGGGGUAUCGAGCGAUGCGUCUGGUGAAGGGAGUGAAAUGGCAUCCGGGGGUGUUUGUUGUACACAUGGUUCGAUAGAUUUGAACUACUCCAUUGGUUCCUUGCCACGGGAACGGAAGCGAGUAGCAAAGCCAGUUGAAUUCCGUGGGUUGGAAAAGCUUGUGGAACGACUGUUUAGAUUUACAGCCUGAUACAGAUGGAGUGCGUGUACACAGUAUGGUUCUUCCAAGUCUUGUUUCCAUACUGUGGAUAGGCAUUAGUUCAGCUGUAAAUGAUCUGUAGGUUGUGGGCUUGUGGCAUCACAUUUACCUUCUAUUUGAAGGCAUGCUGAAGUACCAAAAACUGUUAUGGUGAUACAAGUUUACAUCUGCUGUAAUUUGAGUUAGUUUCGAAACUCCUCUGAACUAUUGUCAUUGAUCUCAAUGGAGUCUGAGUUUUCAGUUUGAGUUACAGAAUUGUUGACUGUU